AGAGUUUGAUCCUGGCUCAGAACGAACGCUGGCGGCAUGCCUAACACAUGCAAGUCGAACGAGACCUUCGGGUCUAGUGGCGCACGGGUGCGUAACGCGUGGGAAUCUGCCCUUUGCUUCGGAAUAACAGUUAGAAAUGACUGCUAAUACCGGAUGAUGUCUUCGGACCAAAGAUUUAUCGGCAAAGGAUGAGCCCGCGUAGGAUUAGGUAGUUGGUGGGGUAAAGGCCUACCAAGCCGACGAUCCUUAGCUGGUCUGAGAGGAUGAUCAGCCACACUGGGACUGAGACACGGCCCAGACUCCUACGGGAGGCAGCAGUGGGGAAUAUUGGACAAUGGGCGCAAGCCUGAUCCAGCAAUGCCGCGUGAGUGAUGAAGGCCUUCGGGUCGUAAAGCUCUUUUACCAGGGAUGAUAAUGACAGUACCUGGAGAAUAAGCUCCGGCUAACUCCGUGCCAGCAGCCGCGGUAAUACGGAGGGAGCUAGCGUUGUUCGGAAUUACUGGGCGUAAAGAGUACGUANGCGGUUAUUCAAGUCAGAGGUGAAAGCCCGGGG
rnacentral:rRNA from 1 species